ensembl:lncRNA CCDC26 CCDC26 long non-coding RNA
CAAAGAAGGUGAUGCCGAAGCUGAGGUCGGAAAUUACGAAGAUCAGCUAUCAAACUUGGAAAUCAUGUCUUAGAGAUCAAGGAGCCAAGAGAUGAGACAAGCCUGGGUUCCUAGGUGAUAGGGUGUGGCUGUGUCCCCACCCAAAUCUCGUCUUGAAUUGUAGCUCCCAUAAUCCCCACAUGUUGUGGAGGGACCCUGUGGAAGAACUACCUCAGGAACAUACCAGGAAAGCUGAGAGAAUCCAAAGACCCUUUGAAGGACCUGGAUCACUGCUGCAGGCUCCUUGAGAUGCCGAAAAACUAUGUACCCAUAGGGUCAAGCUCCAGCACAGAGACCCAUCCUGGGAUGCAGGACUUGGUGCCAGGGAAGUCCCAGCAUCUACUUGUUUCCAAAGUUAUUUGGGUCAGCAUUUUCCUCCACCCACCACUUAAAACUGAUUUGUUUCAUACAUUUGAAAUGUAUGAAAAGCCAGAAAUCCAGGACCCACCCUGGCCUGCUCCCUUUUUCUCACCUACUGUGUUAAGGAUAAGUCAAUUGAGCUUCACUUCUCUAAUUGAAAUCACCGUGCUGAUGGAGUCUGUCUGUGGAAAUGAAAGGUGGCUACCAUAAUCUGUUGGGAGUUGAAUUAAUCCUCUGGGAGUGAGGCUGACCUAAUUACUCAGAAAUACUGGGCUUGCUUUCAUUCUGUGGAAUACAGCCAUGAGAAAGAGGCCAGCAUGCCAUUUCCUAAUCUUUUCUUGAAUUGCCUGAAACUCACCUAACAUGAAACUGAGAAGCCUUUUCAUUUGAAAGUGGUAUUUCUUAUGUUUUUUAUCUUUUUGCUUGAAAGUAUUCUUAAACUAAAGAAAGGAGAAACAGAAAAGGUGAAGAAGCCAAGAGGCUGGAGUUUCCUUUUGAAUGGAUAUUCAUCCAUGAAGCUGUUGAUUCUGUUUUUCUGUUCCUCCAGAUGUCUACACUUUUACCUCUGCUUGCCUGAUACAACCACCACCAGUCACCUCACAGAAUAACUCACUCCUUAAGAAUCUGAUCAGGAAUCAGCCUUCCCUGAUCACAAACACUGAGUUUAGAAGUCCCUCCACAGUGUCCCCCGUAACCCUGUGCUACCUCACUGCCUCAUAGUUUAGUGCCGUUUGUGUACAUGCCUAUCUUCGUCCAUGGAUCCAGAACAACUUGUAAAAAUGACUGUACUUAUCACCUUCAGUAUUCAAUGACUAAACUAUAAUUUUAACAUAUCUGGCAGAAUGAAUCACUUGGGGAUUUCUGCCAACACUACCAAUAUAUUACUCCUAAUUUGUAAUUAUUACUUAGCAUGGAUUAUAGUACCGGCUGUUGGAGAGCCAAUGUGGCAGACCCUAAGUGGAAUAAAAUGUCAGUAGCAGUCUAGGAGCAUAUAUUUAUUGGAAUAGAUCAUUCAUUCAUUUGUUCAUUAACUAAUUUGUUCAUUAAAUAAACAUUUAUUAAGCA